UUGCUGGGUGGAUUAGUGGCGAACGGGUGAGUAACACGUGAGUAACCUGCCCUUAACUCUGGGAUAAGCCUGGGAAACUGGGUCUAAUACCGGAUAGGAGCGUCCACCGCAUGGUGGGUGUUGGAAAGAUUUAUCGGUUUUGGAUGGACUCGCGGCCUAUCAGCUUGUUGGUGAGGUAAUGGCUCACCAAGGCGACGACGGGUAGCCGGCCUGAGAGGGUGACCGGCCACACUGGGACUGAGACACGGCCCAGACUCCUACGGGAGGCAGCAGUGGGGAAUAUUGCACAAUGGGCGCAAGCCUGAUGCAGCGACGCCGCGUGAGGGAUGACGGCCUUCGGGUUGUAAACCUCUUUCAGUAGGGAAGAAGCGAAAGUGACGGUACCUGCAGAAGAAGCACCGGCUAACUACGUGCCAGCAGCCGCGGUAAUACGUAGGGUGCGAGCGUUAUCCGGAAUUAUUGGGCGUAAAGAGCUCGUAGGCGGUUUGUCGCGUCUGUCGUGAAAGUCCGGGGCUUAACCCCGGAUCUGCGGUGGGUACGGGCAGACUAGAGUGCAGUAGGGGAGACUGGAAUUCCUGGUGUAGCGGUGGAAUGCGCA
rnacentral:rRNA from 1 species